AUGUUAUCAAGAAAGGUGGAGGGAUUAGACCCAAAGAAACCUUAGCAACCCUUUAUGUAAGUAGUUUAAAAUAUUUAAAUUAGUUAGAUAAAGAAGGUGCUAAAUUCUACUUAAAAACUGUUUUAUUACAAAAUUACAGCUUUUUAAGAGAGAUAACGG
rnacentral:ncRNA from 1 species